rnacentral:lncRNA from 1 species
UGAGAUUUCAUUUUUUGUGAUGUUUGUUUGUGUGUGUGUCUCUGUGUCUAUGUGUAUGUGUGUAUGUGUGUAAUAUGCUGGUAGGUUUUUAGGCCACCACAUAUAUUUGGAAAAUGGAAGACAAGUUUGUAGGGUCUACAUUUGGCCAUCAUGACCUCGAUCAAGGUCAGAGUGCUAGUUUUGCAUACCACAAAUGCUUUACACUAAGCCUUCUUGCUGAUCCUCAAAUAAGAUUAGAUAAAAGAUUCCAUCAGUAAAAUAUUUUCUUCUUUUCAACAUACAAACAUAUUGUCAUCAAAGGAUAAUAAAUCUCAUUUGCCAAUGAAAAGUAUAUACUGUUUUUUUUUGCAAUGUGUUAAUUUAUUCUUGGAGUAAACACUUCUUUUUUUUGAUUAAUUAAUUUAUUAUUAUGUGUAAGUACACUGUGGCUCUUUACACAUGCACCAGAAGAGGGCGUCAGAUCUCAUCACCAGUGGUUGUGAGUCACGAUGAGGUUGCUGGGAAUUGAACUCAGGCCCUUCAGAGGAGGAGUCAUAACACCCGGAGUAAGCACUUCUUAAUAACACUUUUCUCAGAAUCACAAAUGAGUGGCAGAGAAUUGUUUUAAUGGGUAAAGUCGGUUGCAGCUAUGCCUGGAAACCUGAGUUUAAUCUCUUAGAAACUCAUAUUACUUGUACAAAUUUUUCUUGUGUUUCUACAGUUAGACUCGGGCCUAUGCAUGCUCACACCCCAGCACUUACAUAAAUACAAUUUAAGCCCAAAUAAGGGAUACUCAGAGCUAAUGGCUCCUUGGGGUUUAUCUGUAGACCUCACCUAGUAGACGAAGAUAACAGAUACCUGUAAGGUCUUCUCUCACUGCAAGCUACACACCAUGGCACAGGUGUAUAUCUACAAACACUGUACCAUUGUAUGGUGAAAUUAGCAAAGCAAUGAAAAUCACCAGAUUAUUGGGAACAUAUGAAAUGAUUCACAGUUGAAAUUAUUGUUAUUAUCCGAUUUCAUAUGAGCCCGCAAGGACACAUGUCAGUUAAUGUAAUUUUUGUUUCCUGUAAGGAGAGAAAAGGAACAUGCAAGCCUGAAGAUUGAUUUGUCUGAAUAGGAUCAUAUUCUGCUUUCUUGAUGUACUUAGGAGCCCUGAGUGGUGGUGACUCUGAAUGACGUCAAGUUCUUUGUUUUUUGUUUUUGAUUUGUUUUUCGUUUUUGUUUUGUUUUGUUUUGUUUUUGGUCUGAGGAACCUGAACCUCAAACAGAAGUCACUGUAAGGCUACAUACAUGAGGCAUUUGCAAAAGAGCCAUGGAUUAGGGAUGAACAGCUUAGAGUCCAGUGCUUCCAGUCCAGUGCCCAGGUCUCACCCAGGUCUCACCCAGCUAAAAUUUAUGCUCUGAAGACAGACCUCUGAAUUCUUUUGCAGUGCUUAAAAAAAAAAAUAGUGUGCUUGUUGUCAAGGUUCUGGUGACAAUGGAUGCUGAUUCAUAGGAUAAUCAAAAGCGACCCUACAAUAAAGAAUUAAAUUGACGUGUAAAU